rnacentral:tRNA from 1 species
GCCCUCAUAGCUCAGGGGAUAGAGCACCGCUCUCCUAAAGCGGGUGUCGCUGGUUCGAAUCCAGCUGGGGGCACCA